rnacentral:rRNA from 1 species
UACGAAGGGUGCAAGCGUUACCCGGAAUUACUGGGCGUAAAGCGUGCGUAGGUGGUUGUUUAAGUCUGUUGUGAAAGCCCUGGGCUCAACCUGGGAAUUGCAGUGGAUACUGGGCGACUAGAGUGUGGUAGAGGGUAGUGGAAUUCCCGGUGUAGCAGUGAAAUGCGUAGAGAUCGGGAGGAACAUCCAUGGCGAAGGCAGCUACCUGGACCAACACUGACACUGAGGCACGAAAGCGUGGGGAGCAAACAG